UGCAUCACUUGCCGCAUUGCCAGUAUAGCCAGUAUCAACAGAGGAAGAAACUUGUGGAAGUGACUGCCAAUCACCUGGAAGACAGACUAUGACAACGGCCUCACGGGAACUGGCCUCCAGUUCCGACUGCUUCCCUCUGAUGACGCUUAGGAAAAUGAUCUGAAAAAAGGCUCAUGAAUUUCCAGUGCCAGCUAACAGUGCUGCCUCCACACUCAUUCAAAAGGCGAGAAAAAAAAUUCUAUUUUUCCUCCGUACAGAAACUUGACAAACUCAAGAACUUGUGACAAGUUCUACGUACAUGCUGAAAUGAACACCUCGCAGUGGGCACUUUCAUUUAAUAUUAUGGAAUAUAACUCAGGAUAAGCGAGUAGUUAAGAAUAAUGUAUAACAUUUUAAUCAUUGAAAAAUCAUUAAGUUUAUGCUUUGGGAUACAGGAAGCAAAAGCUUGAGUCAGUUUCCAAGCUGCGAAUUAUCUGAGCUCAUCAAGAGGCUAAGAGAGGAAGGGAGAGAAACAAGAAUAUGCAUUCUGAAAAUUUCAGAUUACAGUCUAAUAUCUCAGGCGAGAGAGUUUACCAUUAAAUAAAUAGAAACAAUAUCAGUCGUUGCCAAAUUAUAAAACUAAAUAUUUAUUUUUCAAUAAAUAAAAAACUCAUUUUUUAAAAUCCUUAUUGAAAGCGUUGUCGUUUCUUUCUGUUUUUACUUUUUGAGCGAAGAACGGUAUCAAUAUGUAAAUAUCGAAUUAUUAAAAAUAGAUGUUGAUUUUUAAAUGUGCGUUUCAAAGAAAUUAACAGAAGAAUUACAUAGAGAGAGAAUUGCAGUUUUUAUGUUAUUAGAAAAGUUUCCUAUAACUAUUGAAUUAAUUUUGGAUUCAGCCCAUAAUUUUUUAAAAGAGUUACAAAUUUUGCAAUUGAUUAAUUAGAAUGUUAGAAAACCUACUUGUAGUUUGUUUAUGACACCAGUAGCGUAAAAUAAUAUUUAUUGCAAAAUGUUAUUAAGAAGGGCAAAAAACGUUUUUUUAGAUAGAUAACUUUUAGGGCAACGUGUUUUUAUGCAAUAAGUGAAAAACCUUAGACUUCAUCGAUUGGGAAAAACUUUUGAUUUUAUUCAAAGAGAACAAAAACCGCAAACUGAAAGCAUUAACACUCCUCCAAAGCGUUAAAAAAUGGAAUGAUGUUAAUUCCUUGCUCGAAAGAGAUAAAAUUAACUUAAAAUGUCUAUUAUCUUGCGAUGGCAAUGCUGUUUAAAAUUCUAAAACUAAGCACUUCCGAAGAAACAAGAACAAACCUUAUUAUUACUUCCCUUAGUUUGUCUCUUUUACGAAGCUGAAGAUCUGAACAAUAAAUAAAAAAGGUCUGAACAAUAAGUUUAAUUUUAUCAUCUGACUGCCUUGGUAUAGUUAUUAUUACAUUUUUUAACCGCACAAUGAAACAAAAAGAAAAAAAAAAAAAAAGGGUGGUUAGCCACCAAUUAGCAUUUCUUUCAAAACACCUUUCCUACGUACCGGAGAUCAUUUUACAGUCGCAUAUCAUUCUGUGGAACAAUUUACACAGGUCUGAAUCCAAAUUUCUCGAUGCAGAUUAGAAAUGAAUAAAAACAAGCGUCAAGAAACUUUAUUUCCCUUUUUAUCUCCAUAGGAAAACGGAUAAAUAAGCCCAGUCUGGAUUUUUCAAGGUCUAAAUGAGGGGUAUAAAACAUAUGUGCAAAGAACAGCAAUCUGAAAAAUGUCAGAAACUACUCAUUUUUGCUAAGAAGACUGUUUCUUAAAUUCAGAGAGUAGACUGAAAUUUAUAUGAAUGAAUCGAAAAUGCUUGCAUGAUUUACUAUAAUGUUGGAAAUAAGACAAUGUGAAAUUUGCAUAUGCACUCGAAAGUUCCCAUAAAUUUUUUGAGACCCUUGAGGAAAGUUACAUUUACUUCCAUGGGAUUCAUGUUUUACUUGUGGGAUAUAUAUUACUGUCUUCAGAGUAAAUCACUUUUAAAGACAACAUUUUAUUCUGUCUAAGUAUUCUUAGUAUUUUAAAACGGGUCUUCCAGCUCAAUGUCAGAAGCGUCAUUUCAUGCUUAACACUUCUAGAUGUAUUUAAAUUGUACGAAUUGAGCUAUUUUCUUUGCAAAUACAAACCUUCGUCACAAACUUAUUACUGAAAUGAAUACGGCAAUUCAGAACGAAGCUAUUGGUCUAACAGGAGGACUACGGCUCCGGAAAACUGUCUAACAGAAACUGGAUCAUAGUUUUUUUACAUUUAAGGAAAUCAUGAAAACUCUUACACUGUUAGUCCAUUUUCUUGGAUUUAAAGUCGAGUCGAACUACUAGUGUUCAGUACUUUUUACAUUUGACCAUUAGUUGGUCCUUUAGAAACUAAAAUGAAUGUCAUAUUUUUAUUUUGAGGAACGUUUCUGCAGUGAAUUAUGCAUUUUUUCUUAAGUAUAUAUACAUAUGUGCAUUUAUAUAUGCAUAUAUAUGCGUGUGUAAGCAAAUACUACAAAUAAUACAAGUCUGCCACGCAUAGUUAUAAUUUCAUAGUUCAUUUCAAUUUUAUAAUAAUAACUUUCAAGCACACUUUUUUGUAAACUGCAACUAAGAACGUACACUGCAAAAAGUUAAUUAAAUAUUCAAAAAAAAAAAAAAAAAAAGAAGAAAAAUACAAGUUCUAAACUCAAAAUAUUUUAAACCUUUUAAAAAUUAAAGUAUUAAGCAAUUUAAAAUUGUAAUAAAAAGAAGCAUAAGAAGUGAUUGAACAAAAUUUUAAAAACGAAAUACCGAAAGUGACUUAAGCACUUUAGCCAUUAAGAAUUUUUAGAAAAUGAAUACGUCAAAAAAUCAGCAAUGCUCUCUCCGGGAUUCGAACUUCCCGACUGCUGGCCUGACGUGCUUUCAUUUAUAACACGAAUUAGACGUUAAGGAAGGAGAAAGAUCCCCUUUAAAAUAUUGCGUAUUAAAGAGAGUAGUACGGGAGAAGUUUUGCCUUUAUCUCUUUGCAUUUUUAAGCGUUCCAUGAGCUAAUCUACCUAUCUGUUUAUGACUACCGUAUCAAUGUACAUCUGUUAUUGGUCCACAAAAUUUGUGAAGAAAUAGUCUCAAUGUUGACAGACCACCCCACAAAUCAUAUUCAAGAAGCUUUAUUUUCGGGUUCAAUUAAGACUAUCUGGAGCCCCGAGGAAAACUAUUCUUUCAAGCACCACAAUGCCACUUUUCUUGCUUUAUGAAGAAUAAUAAGAUUAGGAAGAUUGGGAUUAUUUCGAAAUUCUCUAAAAUUUGUAUGCCUAAGCUCGGGGGCGGGGUUAUGAGCCUAGAUGGCAAUUAGGCAUUGAGCAUUUUAUUUACAUUGCAUAAGUUCAGUCGUAGGAAAUGUUAAUCAGGAUCGCUUGGGAAGUCUAGCAAUAUCUUUUUUCUUCGCUGGUUACUUUGACGGAAUUUGUAUAAUAACAGCUUAAAUGUUCGAACAAAGAAAUUAUCUGUUUCACCUUUGAACCAGAGGUAAGAAGCAUUUUAUUAGGGUUAACAGUCUUCUUAGAUAUUCUGUAAUUAAUUUAUUCAGACAUCUGCUUUGAUUUUGAGAGAGUUAAUUUUUAUUGAGAAGAUUUUUACCGCCAAAUGAAAAAUGCAGACUUAUUACUGCAGAUGUUGACAAUUUGGUACGGCCUGCGUCAGAAUAAAAUGCAUUAUGGAUCUAUGGUAAAUGUAUAACACAUUUUAUAGAAAAUAUUAGAUCUACUAAAUAGCAUAAAAUACGUAUAUAAACACAAACAUUAUAACACACACCAGUAAUGCGUUUCAUAAUCCUAUAGCUGAAAAAUACUAAUGCUUCUGGGAACCUUGGAAUAAAAUGUUUUUAUAUAUCUCUAUUAAUUAUUAUUAUGCACAUUUUUUGAGCUCCUUUAUAAAGUUUAUAAGAAAGGUAAACUAUAAUUUUCCUGACAGAAGAUUUAAACAUAAAAUAACUUAAGUGUUAUUCAUAUUUAUUAGUAAUAUUCCGACACUCCCUCUCAAAAACUUAAAUUGCCUGCUUAAAAGAUCUGAUACAGAGAAUUUCAUUCCCAUAAAAAUUUGCCCUACAUUGAAAAACAAUGGCUGGAGUUUUUCCCCUUUUUGUAUCUAAGAAUUCAGACCAAGAAUCCGUCCCUCCUAUUUUCCCAAUUCUAAAAACUAUUUUCUGGAAUUUGACGUUACCUUUUGACCAUUUAAUGCCAAUAUUAUGAUGCUAUGAAAUUUUAAAUGCAUAAAUUUGGGUCAAGUGUACCAGGCUAAAAAUAGCAGAAUCAUCAGUGAGGGUAAAGGAUCCUUAUGAAUUCGACACCUAAUUCCCACAAUUUUGAAUUGAACAUAAAUGUAUCCAGGAAAUUUACUCAUUUAGCCAUGUCACAGUCUUCAUCUGGUAGGUCGAAUCAGGAAGCAGAAAUCCUUCAUCGCCCGAGCUGAUGGAAGAAGUUUUUGAUCAUCCGUUACGUUACUUCUGAUUAUCUAAUUUACCUAAUACAAGAACCAUUCUGGAUCUUGAAGAAAACAUUGCGCGUCAUUUCUUCAGAUAAAUUUCUGAAGAAGCACGUUUUUAGAUAAAGUUUCCUGUUGCAUUUCGCAUCAGUCAGCCUGAUAAGGCUUUAAAAUGUCUUGUGGGUCUCAUUUACAGAUGAAAGAGAAAUUCUAAAGAUAAUACAAAAGAUACAAAACUAUAUAGGUAUAGAGACAAGUUCCUUAGAAGGAGUGAAAAUGAAUGUUUAAUUAGUUUUCAGAAAAGUAAAAUGCUCGUAAGAAAACUAGUUAUGAUGAAGACCAGACAUCAGUAAAAAGUUAGAGCAUUAGAAAUGUUUUUAAGAAAGUGGAUUUUGUUACUUUAUGUUACACUAUAGGGCUGUGUCAUUUAUCAUUCUUACAACUUGACAAGCAUUGCCAUCGCAAGACAUUUUAACUUAUAUACUACAUAACAUAUUAACAAGCCAUUUUCCAUAGUGUUGCCAUUUGAUAUAAUAUGAGACAUUUAAUUUAUUUUUAGCGCUAUAACUAUAUUGCUUAACAAACAGAGAUUUAAGAACAAAAAAUAUACUUCUUAACAAUUUUAAUCUUUUAUGCUUUUAAUAAUAUAUUUGUUCGGCCCAGUUUAAUAUGUAAUAUAUUCCCCAAUUUUAAUCAACGCUUGAAACAUUCUUAUAAUGAAUAAAAGAUGUUUUUAAACCCAUAUAAUACAUAUCUUGUUACAUUAUUUAUGGCGAAAUCUAUUUUCUCGCUUUUGCCUUAUAAAAAUAUUUAAUUCCUUUGAAUUCAGUCACUCUUCUGAAGUUCUUUUUCAUUUUCAGCCAAUUUUUAUUAUAAGAAACUUUUAAUUUCUGAUUAAUUUUCUUAUACUGAAAGUGACUAAGCUGUGAUUAAAAUCUUUUCUAAGAAAUUAUGUAAAAAGGCUGACUUUAAGAGUAGAGCUGGUUUCCAUCACUGAACUGUGCCCUCGCAAUGGAAUUCAUUUCAGCAAUGCAGCAGACUGUCACAUUCUCUUUGAACUAAUUGCCACUGAAACAAAACUGCCCUUCGGUCGACGUGAACACUCACCACUGAAGGGAUGAUGGGAAUUCAACCUAUUGCACGGUGCUAUCUACAAGAUAACAGAACUCUGGAAGAGUGCUCAUUCUUAUUACGUAGAUCUCUCAUUGUGCUCAAGUCUGGACGAGGAUUCACUUCCAAUUACUCCAAUUGUGGAUCAAUCAGUCGUUAGUGGACGAACGUUGGUUGUUAAAAACCGACAGGAACGAAACGAAAACUGUCUCUCUUUCGAGAAUGUUGAACACUUCUUUCAUACAGGUGAUACCGUCGGUGUUCUUUAUUUCAUUCAUCCCCCGAUGAUUUUUUUAAAUAUUUCUACAGUGCCGUUGCCUUGGUUUUCUAGUGGUCAGGCUUCGAACACCUGUUGUUACAUGAGAAAUGGAUACUUAAAAUUGAAUCCAAUAUAAAUUGUAUUUUAUAAUACAGUGAUGUUUUAGAUGAUUUGUGACAUCUGAGGAUGCUAUCACACUAUGGCUUAAGUAUCAUAAUUGUUCUAGGAACAAAUUUCUAAACACCACAAAAAGUAUUUGUGUUGUCCAAAAAUGGCGUCGCAUUGUUCGCUGUCAUUGACCGGUUCACUUUAAACCAUAGUCUUUCUUGGCUAACAAGCAUAAAGUUGAUUCCUUUCAACUCCUAUGUUGCUCUUCGAACCAUGUAUUAAUGCAGUGUUUUUACCUAACAACAAAGUUGCUUAUGUCACACAUGAUACGCAUGCCAUUCUGUGAAGGCAUCCUAAGCUAUAUAUGCUGAAAAUUGAAUAUAGUUUCAUUUUUGCCCUAUGAAUAAUGCCAUGUUCCUAAAAUGCUCAAGUUUACUUCUAUCAUAAUUGAAAAUAAAAAAAAAUGUAUCUAGUGUUUCCAGUCAUAGAAAAUUAAGAGACGAGCAUAAGAAGAAUAAUAUGCGGUUAAACAUGGAUGAAUGCUUCAAGCCUUGGUCUUGAGAGGAGAAGUCAGAAUGUUUCUUUCCUAUAAAUAUGAAUUUAAAAUUAAGCUCAAAUAUGCAUUUUAGUACCCGCAGUAAGGCUCUUAAUAGUGACUUUUUUAAUAUGGAAAAUUCUGAGUUUCGAAUUUGUUUAUAUUAGCUGUCUGUUUCACAAUUAAUAUACUGGUUGAUGAAGUAGAUCUAAGGAAAAAAAAUGCCUAGACUACCUAAGGUAUUCAAAAACCUAUUAAUAUUAAUCAUAAAAAGUUAUGAUUAUAUCCAGUUCCUUGAGCAGUUUAACUACAGUUUCUUUCUUUUUCUUUUUUCAAAUUUUAGUUAAACCCUAACUUUUGAUAUGAGCAAUGAUGAACAUCUCUUUCGUAAAUUGUCCAUUGAUAAAACUAACUUUAAAAAAAGAGGAUUCAUAUUUGCAGACUGUAUAUUUAUGGUUUGGGCAGAACUAACUUAGAAGCAUGAGGAACAAAUUCACUCCUUUCCAUGCACCAUCAUGUAUAUUAUUAUUUUAGUGAUCUCUGUAUGGCAUAUAAUUAUCGGUAGAAAACUUCCAAAACCACUUUAUAAUCAGAUAUUCUUUAUUAUCACAUUUCUCUUUUUUCAGGUGUACGUAGGCGGUUGUAGAUUUUCUUUAUCGAGAAAUCUGGAGUUGUUACACAUUCUUCCUGGUUUUUUAUUCCUAAGAAUAAAACAUUUUCUAGGAAUACUAAAUUCUUUAAAAGCAUUUUUGUUAUAAAGCAUAACCUGCUAACAAUGAGUCGAAAAGGGUACAAUGAUUAAAUUAGAACUUGAAUUCGAAGCAACUUAUGGCAAAUGCAUUUACCCAAAUAAUAAAGCUGAAAAAAAGUGAAAAACCUAUUGGCGAAAUGUGGUGGCUAUUAAAAUGGGCAGAAACGUUUUUAACAUGUUUUGGCACGUACAAGAAAGAAAUUACAAAUAACGGUAUAAUAAUUGUAGUCAUUACUGUCGAUGUAUUUUGUUGUAGAUAAACUGCAUAAGCAACUGCAUAAACUGCAAAACAGAGCCUAUUUACAAACACCUUUUUCUUCUUACAAAUUCUAGAACGAUAAUGAAGUCUAUAUAUAAUCUGAUUUAUUUUAAUAAAUGAAUUCCUCUAUUUAGAUUUUUGAUUAUGAAAUACAGUCUUUUAAUCUUUUUCUUGCAAAGUGACUAACGUUUAGGUACCUUCAGAUCCAAUUUUCCAGGAAACAGGGCAAAUACUCCAGACAUUUAUAGAAAAACUGAGAAGCAGAAUAUAAUUGAAAAAACAUAACGGUAUUUCAGGCAUAUGUAAUAAAAUAAUUUGUAAUUUUGACACUUUACGUCGAUCUUUUUGAAGAUAAAUUUGAAGAUAAAUAAAUAAAUUAAACUCUACCUUUCAUUAAUCUGGUAUCAGUAAAAGGCUCUAUAUACUAAAAAUGGACAGGAAAUGGUUUUCUGGGAUGACAGGAUUCGGUGCCAAAUGAGUUAGUUAACCGAGAUAAAAUAACGAAAGACAUUCAUUGUAAAUCUGUUUUGACAUUAAAACGAUAACGAAAACAUUCAUACAGAUCUGCGUGGAGCAAAUGUAAAAUAGGAAUUUAUAGUUGUUUAUAAACUGAAAAAUUUGGACCGCAUUAUUUGGCAGAUCUAUAUUGCUUAUAAUAUUAUGCGUCUUUUUAAGUUAGCUUUGCCUUAUAAGUGGUAUGACAGAAGUUCAUGCUAUUAAAAUCUUCAGAUGGAUAAAAUUGGAAAUGAUCUGUGUUCUGGUUCUUAAAGUUUAUAGACAGAGAAAGAGUAAUCAGUUAAAAUGUUUUCGUCUGUGUUUCUUAAUUCGUGUUGAAGAAACGAGCAUGAAAAUGUCGGAUAUUUACUGUUUAAAUAUGUGAUAGCAUUUACAAGUUCAGUGAAAAUUAAUUAAUUCACUGGAUAUUUCGCUCUUUUAUUAAUGGCACACUGAAUAUGCUUGUGAAUUGCAUAAAAUCAUGCGUUGAGAAAUACACGCAAUUCUUCAACCCCCCCCUCAACGCAUGAAUCUCAACGAAAUCAUGCGUUGAGAAAUACACGUAAUUUUUCAUCCCCCCCCCCCGAUAUGUAAUACUUCCCUCGUAUCCGCGGUUAAUAGUAAAGGCUACAUGUUGUGUGAUAUUAAUGUAAAGUACAUAAAUGUAAUUAAAGUUCCGUUGAUAGAUUGCAAAAAAUAAAACAUUACCAACAUUAAAUAUAAUGGAAACUCAACUAAACGUUAGUGUCUAUUACCUAUUUGCCUCUGAGGCAGUUUGAUGGACAGAAUAAAUCCGCUAAAAAACAUAGAAUAAAUAUCAGUACUGGGAAAAGGAAAACACACUCUUACUUCUGAUCCUGACCCUUCAUGGAACUAGCUUUGCAGAAGUAUUUCACGUUACGCGCUCUUAUGGCAUUUAUUUUCAAGAGCCGGAAUAUAUUGGGUAAAAUACUCGAUAAUCGCGGCACACAGAGGAAGUCUGAGUCGGAAUUGGAAUUAAACCAAAUAUACAAAUAUAUAAUUUACAGUUGAUCAUAUCGCAUAGUAAAAUGUGAUUAUUUUGUCACCAUGCUUUUAACGAUAUAUCGAAAAAACAUUUCAUGCAUUAUUAUGCUAUCAAAUUAACACUACACAAAAUAUUUUAAAUUAAAUUUGUCUUGCUGGUUAAAUAAUUGGCAAUAGCUUUUAUAGAUAACUUUUUGACUUUCUAAAAUUUCAAUUACCCUUACACGUACGUGGAAACAUGGAACUGUAUCAUAAAAUUAUUUCUGCAUAAAAAAUAAUAUUAAAUAAAUAAAUGACCUAGACCUAGAUCUAAGAUGUCGGUGUAAAAUUUAGCACAUUGUGAAUAGAGACUCUUUUAACUUUAUUUUAAAUAGUAUAUUUCUCCUACGCGUAAUAGUAAGCAUGGUUAGUGUAACCUAUUUCCAAUUUUAAUCAUGAUUUUUCUCCACUGUAUAAUGUUCCUUAACAUUCCUUGGCAAUGCAUAUUCAAUUAAGGAUACAUAUUCAAUGUAUCCGUAACAUUUUAUAUUCAUUAUCAUCUGCCUGUAUCCUAGUGGUAGAUGUUAGUGGUAUUAGGUAUUGGUGUUAGAAGUUUAUAUCAGAGACGGGAAGAAUCCUAAAUUUUCUUGCACCCGAAUCCUAAACAACUUUCGAGCCUCGUCUUAACUUCAUAUAACAGUGAGAAUACUUAUUAUUAAAAGUUUCUAUCCAAAGAAAAGUUUGAAAUCCUCGUUUCCUAAAAAAUAAAUUUAGGAAUACAUUUCUUAAAAACACACCUAUAUUUAUCAAAAUUUAAAUUAAAUUUACGAAAUUAAAUACCAAAUUAAAACUGUUGGAUGUUUAUCUAUUUUCUCACUAUAAUUUGACAAUAAAUAUUCUAGAAAAAAUGCAAAUUUUUGGCAUCCUUCUAAGUCAAAACUAGUUUGGAGGAAAGCCGAUUAUUUUGAAACAUAACGCAACUGAACAUUAAGCAUAUGACGUUAAACUCUGUCCCGAAAAUUAAAACAAAAGCAGAAAUUAUGUUUAUUUCAUAUAAAGUGAGUUCAUAAAGAACAUUGAACUUUCUUAGACAUCUUGAAAACUGAAAUUUUUAAUAGAGAUUUUAUUUUAAGAAAAUUAGCAUUUAAACUCGCGUUGGGAUCAUUCUGCUUUUGUUUAAUCUGCCACAGUAAACUAAACUGAUACUGGUGGUUAAGGUAGCGAUGAAUAGGUGAAGCUGUACUUUUUCUUAUUUAAAUAUUUUUUAAUGAGCAUUUUAUUGGAUAUCAGAAAAAAGUAAUGCUCUCAAAAUUUAAAGUUGAACCGUUUAAAGGUUUUUUUAAAUGUUAGGAUUUGAAACAGUCUACAAAUGAUUUCCUCCCCCCCCCAACACACACACACAAAAAAAAGACUGGAAAUCGAGUUUCUUAAUGCGUGUUUUUGAUUCUCGAAUCUUUUUCAAAAUUCUCAAGAUUCAAAUGUCCAAUCUCUGUUAAUUCAAUCAUCUUGCUUUAUGCAACAACUUAAACAUUCAUGAUUUGAAUGUGCUUUCUUAAAAAAGAAUUGGCUAGAAUGAAUUCUUAUAUAUUUGACUCUGUAAAGAUUGCUGUACAAUACUCUUUCAUUAAGAAAACUGAAAAUACCAUUGCUGCCCAACCAAAGAUGAGAAACAGACACAUAAAUGGAUAUGUUACGACAAAUUAGAAGUUCCAGAUAUAAUUAUUCGUUUUUAAUAUGAAGGUAAUUAAAACAUAUAAUAAGUGUGAUGAUAUAGGAUUAUUUUCUGGUUUAGCUAUAUCACUAAAAACAGGACAGUCAGUCGCAGUAUGGUGAGAAUCCCGUUGUGUACAAGAUAGUUUCAACAAAUCAAGAAUUUAAGUUUGCUUAAAAGAGGUAGAAUCUCUGCUAGAAAAUCUUCUGUAAUUGAUGUAUCAUAAUUCUUUGAUUCUAAGAAGUUUCCCUUCAUUUCAGUAUUAUCCACAAAGGAAAAGUCUUUGAUUCUAAGAAAAUAAAAUACAUGAAAUAAAAAGCUAAAAUACAUACAGCAAAUAGCUUCUUUUAAUAAUCGACUUCGAUUUAUUAACAGAAAUCGAAUUAUUUUUAAGUUAGAAAUUUAAAAAGAUUUCUUAUUUCGGAAUAAUUAUAAGUCUGAAAAAUCUUGGUUUCGAAGGUCCAAGCCAUUUUUAGAGAGAUUUAUAUGGGAAAAAAUUGCUCUAAUGAUCAAAUAAGCCCUAUAUUAAAAAAUGACUGAAGAAAAAUGCAGUUUAAUUGUUUAAGAAAACUUAAUGUGAUAAAAAAAAUCUACAAAUGACUCUAAUACAGUUCUCAGGAAUUUCUACAACAGAAUCAAAUCCUUUCUUCACUUCUAAAGUUCCUGAAAGCUGAAAAGACAUUUAUGAUAAAAUCUUUUUGCAAAGUAGUCAAUGAAUUUUCAGCAAUAAAGGAAGCUUAUAUUAAUAUUUACAUGUCAAUGAGAUUAAUGACAUAACUCACAGAAACAAUAUUUUAAGAACAGCUGCAAUUUAUACAGUAAAAGAUUUUCAGGAUUUUAUUGUAUAGCGUACGUAUUUUAAUUAUGCUACGGUUGCAUUUCACAAUUAAUUAUUGUUCAUGAAAACAUCAAUCACUUUUUAACCCACUUAAGCAUUUCUGAAAUGAUUUAUUUAUGUUUCAUUCCAUAUUUUCUUUGCAUUUCACAAGUGUUCUUAUGUCUCUUAGAUAAAACAAUAUACGAGAAAAAGUAUAUUGUUUUAUCUUGUACCCAGCAUCUUGUGUAAAGCACAAUUCCUUUUUUUUCCCACGAACUACUAAUAUUUAUAAAAACUGGAAUGCAAGUAAAUCAAAUACAGGAAUUUUCGUUUAUUAUUUGAAAAGGAAUUCAUUUGAGUAUUAAUGUGAUUUUGAGAUUUUAGCCUAAUCUUCAGUACAUAACAGAAAGAAAACAAUUUUAUUCCUUAUAUAGUAUGUAUUUAUCAGAUAGAACUGAAAAGGAUAAAGAAAACAAUAAAAAUUCCCACUUUUUUAUCAAUGCAAUGCGUGUGCAUUUAAACAUUGUAGUAGCACAGGCGUAACCCUUCUGAUGGUCGGCUCUAUUGUAAGUGGAGAGAACACUGUUUAUUUUAUACUUCGCAUUUAUAACAUUAUCUCUGUUAGCGGUAGCGCUCCCACAGUUGCAUUCAGAAUGCUGUAAUUCAUACUUUUACAAUUAUCUUCACUACUUGAGAGUUUUGUUAAUUUUGAACAAUUUAUUUCUUUAAUUAAAAACAUUGAGCUGUGAUAAAUUUCAAAUAUUGAAAUAAAAAUACGAAGGCGUGACUAUAUGUAGCAAACAGAGAAAUCAAAAUAGUUUUCUUCUUAACAAAAUUCCGUUCCCCGAAGCUUAAAAAAAAAACUUUUCAAUAAUGUAUCCAAAUGAAACAUUUUACAUUAAAAUCUUCAAAAUUUAAAAAACGUAUCUUAUGAUUAUAAAAGUGUACUUCAAAACCUAUUUUUCUCCAUCUGAAAUAUUUUUCGUGCAGAAUAGCUAUUGCUACAGAGUAUCACAAAUGUUUCUGAAUGCUUUGAUUUCAUAAAAUAUUUUAACACCAAGUUCCAUCCCUUUGAAUCAGAUGUUUUUCAUACAUGUUUAAAUAAUAAUUUUAUACUGGCAUUUGAGUCCAAAAAGUUAAAUUAAAAACUGCCGAAGUCGAUGACUUAAAAUUGAAAUCCUUUCGAAGUCUUUUGCAUCACUGACCACCAGGCAACUCGGCGCUCGGCGAAAAGUGCAAAGUGUUACUUAUACAGUUUCUACUCUGCUCAUUGAUUAUAAAUGUACAUAGAACUCAGAUGAUCACUCUGUGGGACUUGUAUAUAGUUAUUAAUAAAUUAUUAAACUGCUUUUUUAUAAUAA